rnacentral:rRNA from 1 species
AGCAGUCGCCGCGGGAAUACGAAGGGUGCAAGCGUUACUCGGAAUUACUGGGCGUAAAGCGUGCGUAGGUGGUGGUUUAAGUCCGUUGUGAAAGCCCUGGGCUCAACCUGGGAAUUGCAGUGGAUACUGGGUCACUAGAGUGUGGUAGAGGAUAGUGGAAUUUCCGGUGUAGCGGUGAAAUGCGUAGAGAUGUGGAGGAAUACCGAUGGCGAAGGCAGCCCCCUGGGCCAAUACUGACGCUCAUGCACGAAAGCGUGGGGAGCAAACAGGAUUAGAUACCCGCGUAGUCCCUGUCUCUUAUAC